CCUACGGGGGGCUGCAGUGGGGAAUAUUGCACAAUGGGCGAAAGCCUGAUCCAGUCAUGCCGCGUGAGUGAUGAAGGCCUUAGGGUUGUAAAGCUCUGUCGGGAGGGAAGAAAGCUUCGGCUUGACGGUACCUCGCAAGAAAGCACCGGCUAACUCCGUGCCAGCAGCCGCGGUAAUACGGAGGGUGCAAGCGUUGCUCGGAAUCACUGGGCGUAAAGCGUGCGCAGGCGGCUUAUUAAGUCGGAUGUGAAAGCCCUGGGCUCAACCCAGGAACUGCAUUCGAAACUGGUAAGCUUGAGUAUGGGAGAGGGAAGUGGAAUUCCAGGUGUAGAGGUGAAAUUCGUUGAUAUCUGGAGGAACACCGGCGGCGAAGGCGGCUUCCUGGCCCAUUACUGACGCUCAUGGACGAAAGCCAGGGGAGCGAAAAGGAUUAGAUACCCUUGUAGUC
rnacentral:rRNA from 1 species